UACGGGGGGGGGCAAGCGUUGUUCGGAAUUACUGGGCGUAAAGGGCUCGUAGGUGGCCAACUAAGUCGGACGUGAAAUCCCUCGGCUUAACCGGGGAACUGCGUCUGAUACUGGAUGGCUUGAGUUCGGGGAGAGGGAUGCGGAAUUCCAGGUGUAGCGGUAGAAAUGCGUAGAUAUCUGGAGGAACACCGGUGGCGAAGGCGGCAUCCUGGACCGACACUGACGCUGAGGAGCGAAAGCCAGGGGAGCAAACGGG
rnacentral:rRNA from 1 species